GGGAAGGAAGCGCAGGUGUCUUCAGCCGGGAGAGGGGCGCUUACACCGGAGCGGCUGGCAGAAGGAGGAGGGCAGGGCUUAGGCGAAGAAGGAGGAGGAGAGGAUUUACCCUGAGGCCGAGGUCCUGCGGCUGAGCCGCCGCCCAUCCCACCCGGGAGCCGGAGCGGCAGGAGGCUGCCUGAAGGACAAAGCUGCUGAGUUCUAGAAAGAGAUAACUUAAAUGUUUACGUCUGGCAGGAGAGGAACAUUCACCAGCCUGUGCUCAGCAAUCCCAACUUCUCCUCAGAAGAUCCAUGGCUGCGUAGCUGAUGGAUGGUAAGGUUGUCCAGUGAUGCUGCGUAGCUUGCAAGAUCACACCUGGGGUUGACAGCAAGGACAGACCCAGACACUGAGAAGCAAAGCUCUGGAAAACCUGCCUACGGGUGGAGCGUUAGAUCGGCGUGUUUGCACUUUUUUGUGCUCUGGUCUUCCAUUCCCGUAGAUAUCAUGGCCUUCCUGUUUGCUGGCUGAAACGCAGAUGUGGGUGGUUGGGGUCUAUCAUAUUUUGUAGUAGCAUUUUGGUACCGUGUUAAAUUAAAACUAAACACUGGGCAAAGUGGCAUCCAAAAGAUCUUUAUAAAAUGUGGUAUUGAAAAUAGUCAUAGAUUCUGGUUUGGUUUAGUUGCCAAAGCCAAAUAAAGUGCACAGUAAUGAAAA
rnacentral:lncRNA from 1 species